AUGGGGGCCUUCUCCUACCACGCCGCCCACAUGGCGGCGCUCACGCUGGCGAUGCUGCUGGCAUUGCUGCGGGUGUGCGCCGCCGGCAACCCGCCGUUCUCGUGCGGCCAGGGAGCCCCGACGCAGGGCCUCGCGUUCUGCAACCCGGCGCUGCCGCCCGCGCAGCGGGCGGCGGACCUGGUGGCGCGGCUGUCGCUGGCGGAGAAGGUGUCGCAGCUGGGCGACGAGGCGCCGGGGGUGCCGCGGCUGGGCGUGCCGCCGUACAAGUGGUGGUCGGAGGGCCUCCACGGGCUCUCCUUCUGGGGCCACGGCAUGCACUUCGACGGCGCCGUCCGCGCCAUCACCAGCUUCCCGCAGGUGCUGCUCACCGCCGCCGCCUUCGACGAGCAGCUGUGGUACCUCAUCGGGCAGGCGAUCGGGACGGAGGCUCGGGCGCUGUACAACCUGGGCCAGGCGGAGGGGCUCACCAUCUGGUCACCCAACGUGAACAUCUUCCGCGACCCGCGGUGGGGCCGCGGCCAGGAGACCCCCGGCGAGGACCCCACCACGGCGAGCAAGUACGCCGUGGCGUUCGUGCGGGGCCUGCAGGGCAGCUCGCCGACGGUGCUCCAGACCUCGGCCUGCUGCAAGCACGCCUCCGCCUACGACCUCGAGGCCUGGAACGGCGCCAUCCGCUACAACUUCAACGCGAGGGUGACGGCCCAGGACAUGGCGGACACCUUCAACCCGCCUUUCAAGAGCUGCGUGGAGGAAGGCCGGGCCAGCUGCGUCAUGUGCGCCUACACCACCAUCAAUGGCGUCCCCGCCUGCGCCAGCAACGACCUCCUCUCCAGGACCUUCAAGGGAGACUGGGGCUUGAACGGGUACGUUUCGUCGGACUGUGAUGCCGUGGCGCUCAUGCACGACGCGCAGUUCUAUCGGCCCUCGCCGGAGGACACGGUCGCAGUUGCCCUCAAGGCCGGGUUGGAUUUGAACUGCGGGAACUACACACAGGUGCACGGCAUGGCCGCGGUGCGGCAGGGAAGGAUGACGGAGCAGGACGUGGACAGGGCCCUCCGUAACCUCUUCGCCGUCCGGAUGCGGCUCGGACACUUCGACGGGGACCCCCGGGGCAGCGCGCUGUACGGGGGCCUUGGCGCCAAGGACGUGUGCUCGCCCACGCACAAGAACCUGGCACUCCAGGCGGCCACGAGCGGCAUCGUCCUGCUCAAGAACGACGCCGGCAUCCUCCCGCUUCGACGGGGCGCGGUGGCGUCCGCCGCCGUCAUCGGCCAUAAUGCCAAUGACCCCCGCGCGCUCAAUGGCAAUUACUUCGGCCCUCCGUGCGAGACCACGACGCCGCUGCAGGGGCUCCAGGGGUACGUGCAGAACGUCAGGUUCCUGGCCGGGUGCGACUCGGCGGCGUGCGGCUUUGCCGCGACGGGCCAGGCGGUGGGGUUAGCGGCCUCGUCGGACUACGUGUUCCUGUUCAUGGGCCUGAGCCAGGCGCAGGAGCAGGAGGGGCUCGACAGGACGAGUCUUCUGCUGCCAGGGAAGCAGCAGAGCCUUAUCACCGCAGUCGCCAACGCGGCGAAACGGCCGGUGAUCCUGGUGCUCCUCACCGGCGGUCCGGUUGACGUGACAUUCGCCAAAGGUAACCCCAAGAUCGGUGCAAUUCUGUGGGCCGGCUACCCUGGUCAGGCCGGCGGGCUCGCCAUCGCCAGGGUCCUCUUCGGAGAUCACAACCCCAGCGGCAGGCUGCCGGUGACGUGGUACCCGGAGGAGUUCACCAAGGUGCCCAUGACGGACAUGCGGAUGCGCGCCGACCCGGCCACCGGAUACCCCGGCCGGAGCUACCGCUUCUACCAGGGCAACGCCGUCUACAAGUUUGGUUACGGCCUCAGCUACUCCAAGUUCUCUCGCCAACUAGUUGUCUCCGGUACCGGCAACGAAGCACCGAACACGAAUCUGCUCGCCGGCCUGGCCGCCACGCCAACUGCCGACGGCGGCGCGAGCUACGUGGUCGAGGAGAUCGGGGCCGACGGGUGCGAGCAGCUCAAGUUCCCGGCAGUGGUCGAGGUGCAGAACCACGGUCCCCUGGACGGGAAGCACUCGGUGCUGAUGUUCCUCCGGUGGCCCAACGCGACGGGUGGGCGUCCGGUGAGCCAGCUGAUUGGGUUCCGAACCCAUCAUCUCAAGGCCGGCGAGAAGGCCAGCCUCAGGUUCGACGUCAGCCCGUGCGAGCACUUCAGCAGGGCGAGGGAGGAUGGCAAGAAGGUGAUCGAUGGAGGCUCACAUUUCCUCAGGGUUGGCAAGGACGAGCACGAGAUCAGCUUCGAGUCCUGA
rnacentral:rRNA from 1 species